rnacentral:sRNA from 2 species
GUUUGCACUUGUCGGGGAAGGGUGAGAACCUUCGAUUAAGGUUCGACUCGAGCGAAAGCGAGAGAACGUUGCCAACGGCAACGGCCCGUAGGGUGAAGAGCGAAGCGACGAAUAAUCCUUCCCCCACCACCA